rnacentral:rRNA from 1 species
UUUGAUCCUGGCUCAGGAUGAACGCUGGCGGUCUGCUUAACACAUGCAAGUCGAACGGACCUUUUCGGAGAAUCUGGCUUCAGGUUCGGGACAACCACGGGAAACGGUGGCUAAUACCGAAUGUGCAGAAAUGUGAAAGAUUAAUUGCCUGAAGAUGAGCUCGCGUCUGAUUAGCUAGUUGGUGGGGUAAGAGCCUACCAAGGCAACGAUCAGUAACUGGUCUGAGAGGAUGACCAGUCACACUGGGACUGAGACACGGCCCAGACUCCUACGGGAGGCAGCAGUGGGGAAUUUUCCGCAAUGGGCGAAAGCCUGACGGAGCAAUACCGCGUGAGGGAGGAAGGCUCUAGGGUUGUAAACCUCUUUUCUCAGGGAAGAACAAAAUGACGGUACCUGAGGAAUCAGCAUCGGCUAACUCCGUGCCAGCAGCCGCGGUAAUACGGAGGAUGCAAGCGUUAUCCGGAAUUAUUGGGCGUAAAGCGUCCGCAGGUGGCAGUUCAAGUCUGCUGUUAAAGGUCGAGGCUCAACCCCGAACAGGCAGUGGAAACUGAACAGCUAGAGUGCGGUAGGGGCAGAGGGAAUUCCCAGUGUAGCGGUGAAAUGCGUAGAGAUUGGGAAGAACACCGGUGGCGAAAGCGCUCUGCUAGGCCGUAACUGACACUCAUGGACGAAAGCUAGGGGAGCGAAUGGGAUUAGAUACCCCAGUAGUCCUAGCCGUAAACGAUGGAUACUAG